CCUACGGGUGGCAGCAGUGGGGAAUAUUGGACAAUGGGGGCAACCCUGAUCCAGCCAUGCCGCGUGUGUGAAGAAGGCCCUCGGGUUGUAAAGCACUUUCAGUGAGGAAGAACGCCUGGUGGUUAAUACCCAUCAGGAAAGACAUCACUCACAGAAGAAGCACCGGCUAACUCCGUGCCAGCAGCCGCGGUAAUACGGAGGGUGCGAGCGUUAAUCGGAAUUACUGGGCGUAAAGCGCGCGUAGGUGGCUUGAUAAGCCGGUUGUGAAAGCCCCGGGCUCAACCUGGGAACGGCAUCCGGAACUGUCAAGCUAGAGGGCAGGAGAGGAAGGUAGAAUUCCCGGUGUAGCGGUGAAAUGCGUAGAGAUCGGGAGGAAUACCAGUGGCGAAGGCGGCCUUCUGGACUGACACUGACACUGAGGUGCGAAAGCGUGGGUAGCAAACAGGAUUAGAUACCCCAGUAGUC
rnacentral:rRNA from 1 species